rnacentral:rRNA from 1 species
GACGAACGCUGGCGGCGUGCUUAACACAUGCAAGUCGAACGGAAAGGCCCUGCUGUUGUGGGGUGCUCGAGUGGCGAACGGGUGAGUAACACGUGAGUAACCUGCCCUUGACUUUGGGAUAACUUCAGGAAACUGGGGCUAAUACCGGAUAGGAGCUCCUGCUGCAUGGUGGGGGCUGGAAAGUUUCGGCGGUUGGGGCUAGACUCGCGGCUUAUCAGCUUGUUGGUGGGGUAGUGGCUUACCAAGGCUUCGACGGAUAGCCGGCCUGAGAGGGUGACCGGCCACAUUAGGACUGAGGUACGCACCAGACUCCUACGGGAGGCAGCAGUGGGGAAUAUUGCACAAUGGGCGGGAGCCUGAUGCAGCAACGCCGCGUGCGGGAUGACCGCCUUCGGGUUGUGAACCGCUUUCGCCUGUGACGAAGCGUGAGUGACGGUAAUGGGUAAAGAAGCACCGGCUAACUACGUG